rnacentral:rRNA from 2 species
UUGACCUCAAAUCAGGUAGGACUACCCGCUGAACUUAAGCAUAUCAAUAAGCGGAGGAAAAGAAACUAACAAGGAUUCCCUUAGUAACUGCGAGUGAAGUGGGAAAAGCUCAAAUUUAAAAUCUGGCAGUUUCUAACUGUCCGAGUUGUAAUCUAGAGAAGUAAUAUCUGUGCUGGACCAUGUACAAGUCUCCUGGAAUGGAGUGUCAUAGAGGGUGAGAAUCCCGUCUCUGACAUGGACUUCUAGUGCAUUGUGAUAUGCUCUCAAAGAGUCGAGUUGUUUGGGAAUGCAGCUCUAAAUGGGUGGUAAAUUCCAUCUAAAGCUAAAUAUUGGCGAGAGACCGAUAGUGAACAAGUACCGUGAGGGAAAGAUGAAAAGAACUUUGGAAAGAGAGUUAAACAGUAUGUGAAAUUGUUGAAAGGGAAACACUUGAAGUCAGUCUUGUUGACUUGGGGAUCAACCUUGUUUAUUGCUUGGUGUACUUCCUAGUUGACAGGCCAGCAUCAAUUUUGAUCAAUAGAUAAAAGUCAAGGGAAUGUGGCAUCUUUGGAUGUGUUAUAGCCCUUGGUUGCAUAUAUUGGUUGGGAUUGAGGAACUCAGCAUGCCGCAAGGUCAGGUUUUUUUUUAAAACCAUGUUCAUGCUUAGGAUGCUGGCAUAAUGGCUUUAAUUGACCCGUCUUGAAACACGGACCAAGGAGUCUAACAUGCCUGCGAGUGUUUGGG